rnacentral:rRNA from 1 species
GAUGAACGCUGGCGGCGUGCCUAAUACAUGCAAGUCGAGCGAACAGACGAGGAGCUUGCUCCUCUGACGUUAGCGGCGGACGGGUGAGUAACACGUGUAUAACCUCCCUAUAAGACUGGGAUAACUUCGGGAAACGGGAGCUAAUACCGGAUAAUAUAUUGAACCGCAUGGUUCAAUAGUGAAAGACGGUUUUGCUGUCACUUCUCGCUGGAUCCGCGCCGCAUUAGCUAGUUGGGAAGGUCAAGGCUUACCAAGGCUACCAUGCGUACGCGACGUGAGGGAGUGAUCGGCGACCCGGGAGCGUAGACAGGGUCCAGACGCCUAAGGGACGCAGCAGUAGGGUAUCUGCCGCAAUGGGCGAAAGCCUGACGCAGCGACGCCGCGUGAGUGAUGAAGGUCUUCGGAUCGUAAAACUCUGUUAUUAGGGAAGAACAAAUGUGUAAGUAACUAUGCACGUCUUGACGGUACCUAAUCAGAAAGCCACGGCUAACUACGUG